UCAUCUUUAUUAGGUUUAUAGGGUACCUAGACCGAAAACCAAGCCUUAAUCGGGACUAGUUUUCUAGAGUUUUAUGUGAGAAAGUUGAAUGAUCAGAGUAGAGUCAAAAUUCGCUAAUACUGAUAAGACGGAUAACGGCGAAGGCUGCUUUCUAUGUAAAAAACUGACGUUGAGGUACGAAGCCCAGGGUAGCAAGAAGGAUUAGAUACCCUAGUAGUCCUGGGAGAAAAUUAUGAGUGCCAUAGAUUAGAUAUAUGAUUAAUUUAUAAAUGAAAGUGUAAGCAUUCCACCUCAUGAGUAAAGCGGCAACGCCCAAAUUGAAAUCAUUAGACCGUUUCUGAAACCAGUAGUGAAGUAUGUUAUUUAAUUCGAUAAUCCGCGAAAAACCUUACCACACUUUGAAUAUUAUUCAAUUUUUACAAGCGCUGCACGGCUGUCUACAGUUGAUAUCGUGAGAUUUUGGUUAAUUCCUUUAAUUAACGAAAACCCUUGUUUUAUUUUUUCAAAUAAAGCUGUUCUCCGUCUAGAUGGGAUAUGCUAAAAGGGAGCAAGACAAGUCAUUAUGGCCUUAA
rnacentral:rRNA from 1 species